UGCUCCCAGGUGGUAUCAGCAGACAUUUUUCUGAGGUGCAUUAAGUGUGUCUCCAUGCACAGGGCUAAACAAUGGCAAACCUUCCUGCUUAGUAUUGUCUUUCAUGAGCAAAAGAAUAAAUUACUAAGACUCAGUUGAUAAACUCAUCAGUCUGUGGAGUAUUUUCAACAUUCAUUCUGAACACUCACUCCAAGAAGUCUGGCCCAGAGAAAAGAUUUUCAUCAUGGUGCCUGGACCUGACAGCAAUGAUGAGUAGAAGGUCUGGGUUGUUCCUUGCUCCUCUGAAUACACAUGACAUCAUAAAUGCCUGACUUCACCUUAGAUGCCAUGGGAGGUCACCUGAAAAAACAUCAUCUACACCUGCCCCAGGACAAUUUCUGCCUAAUAAAACACAACCUGGCACACACAAGAAAAAGCCUGCUGGAGGAUGCCUGAGGGAGCAAACCUCAUGAGGCAGAUGCUGGUCUCAGUGAGCUGCUGGAAAUCCCUCAGACAUGGACAGUGCCGAGGGUUGGAUGAGGAUUCCAGAUGCUCUGGAAGAGCUUUAGUGCUGAAACAAAAUAUGUUCCACUGCAAUCAAACCCAUUCUGCUUGCAUUCAUCCACAGAGUAAUUUAAUCCUUCCCUGCUGCUCAGCUGAAGGAGAUUCUCUGUGCCUUUUCAUAUAGAGGGGUUUGAGGGUAACACCUGACUGAGCCCUUUGAGAGCAUCCUUUUGGUGUGGGCUGGGGAAAGGAGGAGGAGAAAGACAAGAUAAAUCUACCUAUGCAUGGAUGCAUAGGAAGAAGAAUAUGUAAGAUACACAUUCAUUAUGUAUUAAAAAUUUCAGAAGUAUUCUGGGCUUCUUUCCUUCUAGCAUGAAAAAAUUAUGUAUUAAUAAUGAAAUAGUGUAUACCUUAGCUGUACUCCCCCAUAAACACAUUUACUUGGCUGUAGCUUGAAAUUCUAAGUAUUAAAGUGAAAGGCUUGGGACUUAUUUUUUCAGCUGAAAUUAAUUAUCUUAAUUUUACCUCUGUUUUGGCUGGGAAACUGUCAGUCUCUGGUUUUGCUUCUUGGAAUACAACUUUCUCUUC